GAAGUCGGGGCCGGGGUCAGCGCUGGGUUGGGGUCGGGGUUGGGUUCUGAGUUGGGGAUGGGAUCGGAGUUGGGGUUGGGGUUGGGUUCUCAGUUGGAGUUGGGAUUGGAGCUGGGGUUGGGCUCAGAGUUCAGAUCAGGGCUGGGGUUGGGAUUCAGGUUGGGUUCUGAGUUGGUGUUAGGGUUGGGGUCGGAGUUGAGAUUGGGGUUGGGCUCAGGGUUGGGGUUCGGGUUGGGUUCUGAGUAGGGGUUGGGGUUGGGUUUGUGUUGGGGUUGGGGUUGGAGUUGGUCUGGGGUUGGGAUUGGGAUCAGGACUGGGAUUAGGACGGGGGUUAGGAUUGGGAUUGGGCUGGAGUCAAGGUCAGGAUCAGGAUUAAGGUUGGGUUAGGGGUCAGGGUUGGGGUUGGAGUUGAGGUUGGGGUCAGGGCUGGGGUUGGGAUUGGGGUUGGGGUUGCGUUUGUGUUGGAGUUGGGCUGGGAUUGGCAUUGGGAUUGGGUUGCAGUCAAGGUCGGGCUCAGGGUUGGGUUGGGGUCAGGGUUGGGGUUGGGUUAAGGGUUGGGGUUGGGGUUGGGAUGGGGUUGCAGUGGCACUGAGGUUGGAGUUAAGGUGAGGGUAGGGGUUGGGGUUGAGUUGGGUUUGACGUUGGGGUUGGGGUCGGGGUUAAGGUUGGGGUUGGGUUGAGGUUGGAGUUAAGGUUGGGGUCAGGGUUAAGGUUGGGGUUGGGAUUGGGUUGGAUUUAGGGUUGGGAUUGGGGUUGGGGUUGGAGUUGUUGGGAUUGGGUUUAGGGCUGUGUUUACGGAUGGGGUUAAGGGUGGAGUUGGGGUUGGGUUGGUGUUAGGAUUGUGUUGGAUAUAGGAUUGGGGUGUGGAAGGGGGGGGUCUGCAGGUGCUUGCAGGGAUGCUUUGAGCAGUGGGGGCUCCGGGGGUCGAUGGGGUCUAUGGGGGCUUUGGGACCACCCCUGCGGGGAGGGCUCUGCGGGGGCAGCGGGGGGGGCCGCAGUGACGGGAAGCCGCGCCCGGCCCCGGCCCCGCGGGUUUCCU
ensembl:lncRNA